rnacentral:lncRNA from 1 species
AGAAAUGCGGAAACCCAAGGCCCAGCCCAGACCCAUCAAACCAGAAUCUGCCUUGUGUCUGCUGUACCUCCCAGCACCUCAACCUCCAAUAUUCAGCCUAAGCUGCCGUCAUCACCACUACCACCUCAGCCUUCCAGUGUGCUCAGUGUCUUCCCGAUUCUGUGACUGGAAGGAAGGUAAGGAACAAAAGAAGCAAGUGUCUGGAGAAGACGGUUUCAGAUACAGAAAGCAGCAGACGCAAAUCUCUGAGCAGGACCUUGUUCAUGGAUGCCAGAACAUGCUAGAGUCUCCAGUAGCUGGAGAAGAGCCUGUGGGUUGCCUCUUCACUCUGUUGAUUAUGUCCUUUGCUGCGCAGAAGCUUUUUAGUUUGAGGGGCCGGCUCCGUGGCUGAGUGGUUAAGUUCGCGGGCUCCGCUGUGGCGGCCCAGGGUUCGGAUCGUGGGCGCGGACAUCGCACUGCUCGUCAGGCCAUGUUGAGGCGGCGUCCCACAUCCCACAACUGGAACGACCUGCAACUAAGAUAUACAACUGUGUACGGGGAGGGGUUGGGGAGAAAAAGCAAAAAAAAAGAAAAAAAAAAGGAAGAUUGGCAAGAGUUGUUAGCCCAGGUGCCAAUCUUUAAAAAA